AAAUCAUUUUCCAGCAAAUACUCUACCUCUUGAUGCAUAACAGAUCUUUUCAUUGAGUUUACGCGGUAACAGGAGAUGGCGCCAGAUCCACGGCUAGCGCAACAGAAGAGACAACGGGCCCUGCAGUCUGUUCCACAGCACCGGCCGUUGGCGUUGGCGACUCUCUGGGACCAAAGAAACGAGCAGACAAAGAUGAUCCUGGGACAGGUAACAACACAAGCACUUCGUCACCAGGUUGAAAUGAUCGCGCUACCGCUUGCUUAUCAUAUUUACUCUUCAUGUCUUUCUGAGCACUGGCAAGC